rnacentral:lncRNA from 1 species
CGAGGCUCUUCGUCAGGAUCUCGACAAGCCUGAACUGGAAUCAACUCUCUAUGAGGUUACUUUCAUGAAUUAUUACCGAUUCUUUUUACGGCCGGCCACGGCCUGUUACUUUCAAGAAUAUGCCCGGCCUCUCCAUCUGUCUGAACAUUGCGUUGACCUCGUUUUGAUUGAUUCUCGACUGUCCUCGUUAAUUCUCAGAAUUGGUUUGGCGCUUUGUUGUUGAAGAAGUUAGGGUAUUACGUAUAUAGGGAAUAGAAAGUUCUCCUGGUGAUUGUUCUGUCUUGUGGAUUGAUUCUUUGUUAGAGGACGAAUAGAGAUAAUACAUGCUUCAUCACACUUGGACGUUAUGUAUUUAAUGAAGUAGGGCUUGGUAGGUUGAUGCUAAUGGCUUGGCUGCGAUUCGUGGUACUUGUACUAAUGG